GAAAUGCGAUAAGUAAUGUGAAUUGCAGAAUUCAGUGAAUCAUCGAAUCUUUGAACGCACAUUGCGCCCCUUGGUAUUCCGAGGGGCAUGCCUGUUCGAGCGUCAUUACAACCCUCAAGCACAGCUUGGUCUUGGGCUCCGCUGCUCACCUGGCGGGCCUUAAAAUCAGUGGCGGUGCCGUCGAGGCCCUGAGCGUAGUAAAUAUCCUCGCUACAGGGACCCGGUGGACGCUGGCCAUCAACCCCCACAUUCUCAGUUUGACCUCGGAUCAGGUAGGGAUACCCGCUGAACUUAA
rnacentral:misc_RNA from 1 species